GACGGUACUGCUCAGUGGUAGAAGCGCAUGCCUAGCAUGCAUGAGGUCCUGGGUUCAAUCCCUAGUACCACCA
rnacentral:tRNA from 1 species